UGGCUACAUUCGGAUUGGUCGCCGUGCUUACUGAUGACGUACCAGCUAAACGCGCAAUUUGAAAUGUACCAGCUAAUCUAACUAACUAGCUAGCUGUGAAUGAAUCUAGCGGAGCCAUUUUUUAAAAUUAAUUUUGUCAAUUAAUUAAUUUAACUUGCUUGUAAAUUGCUCGUAUUUGUAUUGUUAUAAAAUGUGUUGUUCAUUACACCAUGGAUGUUGGUUCACAUUUACAGAGUUUUGAGCAAAGCUUAAACAACUAUACCGGAGACGACCCACUCGAUCCAUGGGACAGGUUUAUAAAAUAUCUAGAGAAGAGACUACCUGCUGAAGACUCCAAAGCGAUGUCUCUUGUGCUAGAUCGUCUAGUACAAAGAUUUCUCCAAGAAGAGCGUUAUACCAAUGACAUCCGAUACGUAAACUACUGCAUUAAAUGUGCAAGUUAUUACAAUGAGCCCAUCAAACUAUACAGCCACAUAUACAGUAAGGGCAUUGGCACCAGGGAUGCAGUCCUCUAUGUGGCGUGGGCUCAACAGUUUGAGCAGCAGGGCCUGCUUCAACAAGCUGACGCCGUGUACCAGAGAGCCAUUGAAAACCAAGCUAAGCCAACUGGCACUGUCCUUCAGCAAUACAGAAUGUUCCAAACCAGGACUUCUGGAAGUGGGGCAGGGGCUUCAGAAGCUGUACGGAAUCCUCUUCAGAAUUCCAACUUGGUAAAUCAGCUGCAUACCCACAGAGUGCCCAGCCCACAGUGCAAGGACCUUGAACGUCUGUUCCAACUCCCUACAGACAGAACUGUUCGCAUAAUCUCCCGGUCUGAAAAUGUGGUGGUAAAUAAACCCAAUCAAGGCCCGGUUGUGAGCCUGCAGACAGUGUCGAUGUACCGUACGGAAGACCUCGUCUGCGACGGGUCUGAACUAUGCUUCGAGGAGGUCAGGGCCAGACGAUACUUUGUGAGAUGCAAGCAAGAGAAGAAACGGAGAGAGUUUGAGGAACGUCAGAGUUUGGUUAGAGAGCAGGAGGAGGAGGUAAUGAGGAUGAACCGGCUGUUGGAGGAGCUGGAGAGUAAUCUCUGUGUGAGCUCUACAGGCCAGGGAAGCACCGCCAGUGUUCUACCAGUGCAGCAGACACUCUGCACACCUGCAACAGACCUGAAUCCUGAGUUCCUCCAACAUUCCUUAAGGCAACCUCUACUCUCAAGCAACCUCGGCAUCAAACUCACUCCAGGCUUUAGACUGAACAGUGGACAGGACCCCAGACAAGGCUUGGUUAGGGAAUCUGAGACACACCUUCAGUGCGACAAUCUCAGGGCUCCCAUUACAGACACUCUGCGCUCACAGAGAUCUGUUUCCUCAUCUGGACAGUUAGAGGAGGUAAACACCUCCCAUAGACGCUCCCUCCACAUGCCAGAAGCAGCAAUGGGUCACUUGUGUGAAUGUACAAAAGCUCCAAAACCAUUUGCAGUCGCUUCCCAGGCAUAUUCUCUACAAGCUUCUCUAGUUCAGCCCCAACCAGAACAAAACUCUAAGCCAUUUGGGUCGGCCCCACAGAAGCCAGCAGCCUACAGAUCUGACGUGCAGCUUGGUGGAGUUCCAAAUCAGGGUGGUCACUCUCACCUCAGCAGCAUUUUCCAGCAGCACAACGGCAGCGAUCAUCAUGAGGUGUCUGUCAGUGACGCUCCUGAGUCGGAGGUGAAAUUAGAUGUGUCACAGGGAGGGGCUGGAAACGUGUCCCAUAUCACUCCUAACACUUCUCUGGGACUGGGGCAAGCCACCCCGUCCAGGGUGCUCCCAUCCCCCACAGUCAACACACGGGAGGCACUUGAUGCUAUCAUGGACAUGUUCCAGGCUCCAACACUCCUGCAGGAGGACCAGUUCCGCAGCAUGCCAAUGCAUCCACAUCAGACAGAGAACAUUUUUGAUGCUGGCUACCAGAGAACGGGCGAUGCGUCAUUCAGCAAGCCCCGCAAUACAGUCCCUUUCGCCAUCUUUCAGGAUGAGAAUGACAUAAAGGAGAAAUGCAGUGCUGCUAUGGUGGACAAUGCAAAGCCACCAAGGGCCCUAGCAGAAAUCCCUGUCUCUAAACCAGGGAAACAAAAUGAAUCUCCUUCGGAAUUGAUACCAGAUGAGAGCACUAUUUGGGAAGCACGCUACAACUCCCUGGCCGCCUGCCCCAACAGCACCAGAGACUUUUCACUGUCGGCUCACCUGGUCUCCACGCCCUUCCAAAACAAAGCUCCUUACUCCUGGGACUUUGAUCAGGAUCAAGAAAAUUAUCAGCCCAGAGGCUUUGGGGGUCUGGAAGAAGUCCCUUUCCUACGACAGCCCACAAAACUCAGCCCUAUCAUAGAGCAGAGCCCACCUGAUGGGUUACCUGAGACUGGCACGGAUUGCUGUAUGAGAGCUCAGGGCUUUGCUGAGCAGGGCACCAUUGUGGGAGAAGGGCUAGCCCUGGCCCAGCGAAGCCUGGCUAUCUGCUCCAUGACUGAAGUGCAGCAUCAUGCCCCGGCCGCACUGUCCUUCAGAGACCAGACUGCCCCCCUGACCCAUGCUGAGGUGGCAGUGGCCAAAAGCCCUCCUUCCAAGGCCUCAAAGCCAGACUGGGAUGUCUAUGUGAGCCCAGAGCAGUCCUCAAAGCCAGCUUUUCCUCUCCCACAGCGUGCACCUGUGGCAGAAGCAUUAAUUUCAAAGAGCCAGAUCUAUGCCCUCAAAUCCAACUUUGAUGUUCCAACUUGUCCAGAGAAAGCCCCAAUGGCUGCCUUCGAUAUCCCCAUGAGUCCGGAGUGUGCACCCAAGUCAGACUGGUUAGUGGUCAAAAGCCCAGAGGUUGUGGUUGAACCUGACUUGGAUGCCUUCAUGAGUGCCCGUCAGGGUCAGAGAACAGUCAGCAUCCUUCUGGAGACCGUGGACAUCCCCAUGAGUCCAGAUCCACCUAAAUUUGGCUCGGAUGUGACCAUGAGUCCAUUCCAGUCAUCAUCAAAGUUCAUAAUGGAUAUUCCUAUGAGCCCAGACCAAGGUUCAAAGGUGAACAUGGAUGUUCCCAUGAGUCCAGCAGCUCAAGGGGCAGCGGCUGUAGAGCUGGUCUCCGACCCCUGGGAUGAGGAGCUGAUUUCCUCCCUGCUCUCCAAGCUGUCCACACCACUCACCUCACAGCCUAACUUCAUCACCUGGCAGUGCAAAGUCCCCAGCAUUGCACCCAAGAUGACCAUCAAGAUCGGUGAAGGCUCCUUACGUGUUGACUGUGUACUCGGACAGGGUGCCUUUGUCACAGUCUACCAGGCAACUGACCUUAACACCUCAGAGAAGAUGAUUUUAAAGGUGCAGAAACCAGCCAAUCCGUGGGAGUUUUACAUCAACUCUCAGCUGAAUGCCCGGCUGCAGCCCAGCGUGCGCCACCUCUUUAAUAACAUCCACUCUGCCCACCUCUUCCAGAACGGUAGUGUGCUAUUGGGCGAGCUCUACAACUGUGGCACCCUAUUGAAUGCUGUAAACCUGUACAAGAACCUUCGUGACAAGGUGAUUCCCCAGCCUCUGGUGAUCUACUUCACUAUCUGCAUCCUGCACAUGGUGGAACAGCUGCACAAUAUCCACAUUGUUCACGCUGACAUCAAACCAGACAACUUCCUGCUGGGAGAGAGGUUCCUGGAGAAAAAGUAUUUUGACCAAGAUUAUCUGGAUCAUGGCCUCUCCCUAAUUGACCUGGGUCAGAGCAUUGACAUGACUCUGUUCCCAGAGGGCACGGCAUUCAACGCCAAGUGUAUGACCUCUGGCUUCCAGUGUACAGAGAUGCAGAGUGGGAGACCAUGGAACUACCAGUUUCUUUGUUUUAGACGGACUACUUUGGUAUAGCAGGAACGGUGUACUGCAUGAUUUUUGGAACAUACAUGCAAGUGACACAGGAGGGUGGCGUGUGGAAGACAAAUGCAGUAUUUAGAAGAAAUCCCCACAGUGAUCUGUGGACAGAGUUCUUCCACACUCUGCUGAAUGUACCUGACUGCAGCUCCCUGCCCUGCCUGCGGAGCCUGCGCAGUAGACUGAGCACUGUGCUCCAACAGAACUACAGCAACAAGCUGCCGUCACUGAAGACCCGCCUGGUUAUCCAGCUGUUAGAGAGCAGGACGACACAGAGAUAGAACUCCCUGAGAACCUUUCUACUCCUGGGUCCUGUUCAGUAGGUAUACAAUUAAAGAAAGCGGUCUGAAACUGAGUGGAACUUGGGAGAUACUAUCUGGACUUUAUGAACAACCCUAAUGAACACGACCCUGGAUGGAUACUACUGCGAAGUCGAAUUUCUAGUCCAUUUGUAAAUACAAAAGAUUGACCUUAAAUCGGGUCUGGUCACUGUGAUAACCUUUUAUGCAUUUUAAUGUUUUUUUAGUGACAACCAUUUGUCCAUUUAAAUAACAGAAAUUGUGAGGUUGGCGAUGUUAUGGUGUAUUUAAAUUUGUAAAGAAUAAAUAACAUUUUAAACAUUU